GACGAACGCUGGCGGCGUGCUUAACACAUGCAAGUCGAACGGAAAGGCCCUGCUUUUGUGGGGUGCUCGAGUGGCGAACGGGUGAGUAACACGUGAGUAACCUGCCCUUGACUUUGGGAUAACUUCAGGAAACUGGGGCUAAUACCGGAUAGGAGCUCGUGCUGCAUGGUGGGGGUUGGAAAGUUUCGGCGGUUGGGGAUGGACUCGCGGCUUAUCAGCUUGUUGGUGGGGUAGUGGCUUACCAAGGCUUUGACGGGUAGCCGGCCUGAGAGGGUGACCGGCCACAUUGGGACUGAGAUACGGACCAGACUCCUACGGGAGGCAGCAGUGGGGAAUAUUGCACAAUGGGCGGAAGCCUGAUGCAGCAGCGCCGCGUGCGGGAUGACGGCCUUCGGGUUGUAAACCGCUUUCGCCUGUGACGAAGCGUGAGUGACGGUAAUGGGUAAAGAAGCACCGGCUAACUACGUG
rnacentral:rRNA from 1 species